CCUUAUGCAUGCAGUCGAACGAUCUUAACUUCGGUUGGAUAGUGGCGAACGGGUGAGUAACGCGUAGGUGACCUACCUUAAGGCGGGGGACAACUCCGAGAAAUCGGGGCUAAUACCGCGUAUGAUCUCGAGUCAAAUUGAGGGUGAAAGUUCUUUAUGGACGCCUUUUGCGGGGCCUGCGUUCGAUUAGCUUGUUGGUGAGGUAAUGGCUCACCAAGGCGAAGAUCGAUAGCUGGUCUGAGAGGAUGAUCAGCCAUACUGGAACUGAGACACGGUCCAGACUCCUACGGGAGGCAGCAGCAAGGAAUCUUGCGCAAUGGGGGAAACCCUGACGCAGCAACGCCGCGUGAGUGAAGAAGGCUUUCGGGUUGUAAAGCUCUUUUAUUGGGGACGAGAAAGGACGGUACCCAAUGAAUAAGCCUCGGCUAACUACGUGCCAGCAGCCGCGGUAAAACGUGGGAGGCGAGCGUUAUCCGGAUUUAUUGGGCGUAAAGGGCCCGCAGGCGGCACAUUAAGUCAGGUGUGAAAUCUCCCGGCUCAACUGGGAGGGGACACUUGAAACUGAUGAGCUUGAGGACAGCAGGGGGAAGCGGAAUUCCCGGUGUAGCGGUGAUAUGCGUAGAUAUCGGGAGGAACACCAGUGGCGAAGGCGGCUUCCUGGGCUGCACCUGACGCUGAGGGGCGAAAGCGUGGGGAGCGAACCGGAUUAGAUACCCGGGUA
rnacentral:rRNA from 1 species